rnacentral:lncRNA from 1 species
CAGGUUCUUCAAUUCAUAAUCCUGAGUUCUUUAAUUACUUUUAUUUACAUUCAAGUUAUUUAUUGGAUUCCCGCUUGCAUCAAGUGCUCUAAUCUUUGCAACAUUAGAGUAGUAAUUAAUAGAUUAGACGUGGUGUUUAGUCUUGCAAUUACCUGGAAUUGCACCCAAUCCUGCGGAUUGUUAUGGUAGCCUUAGGGUAGUGACAGCCCUAACGGUCGACGUAUUCCACCUCGUUCGGAUCGGUGUUUGUAGGACCGUAGUCAGACCUUCCUAGCCCCCUUCUCAUCUCUUUCUGUGGUUAGUGCUCUGAUGUCCCGAUAUAGAUAAUCUUGAAGUAAUUCUUGAUUCUUAGAUCAAAUAGAGAACUCUCAGGAAACUUCCUCUCUUCCCACCAAAAAAUAAUUAUAUAGUUAUCCUUGGGCGAUCUUGGAUCUUAAUUAGUACACUCACGUUCCCUGUGGAAAAUCGAUACUCUGGAAUACUCCUGGGUGAAAGCUACAUCGGUAUCCGUGCGCUUGCGGAUUCUUCUGUUUGCGUUUAAAAUACCCAACAGAGCCACACAUUUAAUAUUUACUGCUUAUGAGCAUUGAGUGUGGUCAAGCUGUGUAGACCCUUAGGAGCUUGUCAUGUGGUUAAAUCAAGAUUCACUUGCACGUUCACUCAUAUAUGCUACUUCUACUCCAGAAGUACCAUCCACAUAUAUCCACCCAUUCCAUCUCCAGAAUCACCCAAAAAUAUUCUACUCCUAAUCCGGGAGAGAAUAACCAAAAAUAUUUCUGUUUUCCCCUUGUGAAAUAAAUGCUCAUGUUAUCUUGUUACUACCACUUGCUAUAUUAUCUCAAGAGAUGAGUGCUCUAAAAAAAAUAUACGAGGAAAUAAAAAGGAGCAAGUGCUCGGAACCUCGAAAGAAAAGAAAAAGUGAGACGAGAGGUAAAAAUGGACAAGUGUUCGAUAGUAGAAUUAGGGGUGCAAGAUACCCACCUGAAAAAAAAGAAGAGCAUCUCAUUCUCCUCAUAAAGUUUCAAUAGCAAGGAAGGUAUGUAUCCCCUCAAAGAGCAAAGUAGAAUUAGACUUCCACCACCAUUGUUUUCACCAUUGUUAUCACCAUCACCACCAUACACCAUUCAUUCGCCACCCAUGCACAUCUUGAUUAAACUUAUUGGCUUGUUACUUUGGAUCCAUGAUUUGACUAUGCAAUAAAUGUCUUGUAAGUAUGUAUAUUUUAUCUCCCACCUAUGAGCUCCAGAUAUUAAAGCCUUAUUAGAGUAGGGUGAGAGAGAAGGCAAUGUCACUAUGCCUUAUACCACAAAUACUACAUAUCUUGAGAGAAGGCAUAUACCAUCAAUGCCUUGGUAAGGAUCCAAAAAUACCACAAAAGAGAGACCUGAGAGAAUCAUACAAGGAAUUUCUGAGUUUUAUUUGAAAAUCUGCAAAAACCCCAG